GCGCCAGUCGCACAAUGGUUAGUGCUCGUGCUUCCCAAGCAUGUGACGAGGGUUCGAUUCCCUUCUGGCGCUCGA
rnacentral:tRNA from 1 species